rnacentral:rRNA from 1 species
UACGGAGGGUGCAAGCGUUGUCCGGAAUCACUGGGCGUAAAGGGCGCGUAGGCGGCUCGGUAAGUAGGGGGUGAAAUCCUGCGGCUCAACCGCAGGGCUGCCUUCUAAACUGUCGAGCUCGAGCACGGUAGAGGCAGAUGGAAUUCCCGGUGUAGCGGUGGAAUGCGUAGAGAUCGGGAAGAACAUCAGUGGCGAAGGCGGUUGCCUGGAGCUUUGCUGACGCUGAUGCGCGAAAGCGUGGGGAGCGAUCCGG